rnacentral:lncRNA from 1 species
CUGGGGCUGACUCUAGCUCUUCCAGGGGCCGUCGUUCUUUUACAAAGGGGGGUGGAGGUUGUUGUUGACUUUUUUUUUUUUAUGAAUGGAGGGCGGCGGCGACUGCAGCAGCUGGCUCAGCUGCGCGGGCUGUACCCCCUCCCAGCCUGCGAGAGGAGGUACAACUGCUCUGCUAGAGGCAAAACCCUAACAACUGCGUUCCUGCCCGUGCUAACGACAGUCCUUUCACCGAGCCUCACUGAAGCUAGUGGAAAACCCACACCAACAAAACCGAGGAACAAAUCCAGAGAGUAGACAAUGUGGGAAUAACUGCAUGGAGCUCAGAUUCCAUUUCUCAGCUUCUGGAACAACAAGAGACACACAGGGAAGUCAGAACCUUUGAAGGCCAAUGCCACUCCCUUCACCCACCUCCACCACGAAGUAGCACUUUUGGGAAUUCUUCCAUCUCAGAAGAGCUUUGUCAUCUCUUACAUCAGUUGGAGCUGGCAGCUCUCAAAUCCAUCUUCUGCACCCCAGAAGUUCCGUGGGACACUCCCUGACUGAAGGGGAGGCAGCUGACCAGUGCCCGCUCAGCCUGCUGCUCAGCAGAGAGUUUGUGAAGCCACAUACCGAACCCUUUCCCACAGCCCAGGGAAGAUGAGUCAGAAACAUGGCAAACAAAAGCCAAGGAGGGACCUUUGCGUGAGGCCGAGAGCCCACCUGUCCAUCGGCAUCCGCAUCAUGGAGCAGGACGGGGAGGGCUGGACCCGGGGCUGCAGAGAGCCAGCUCCAUUUAAUCGCUGCUCCAGUGACAUGUGUGUUAAUGAGGGAGGAAAGAAAAAGGACCCCCUAACAGAUGGAGAGAGAGGCUCUGAUUACUGAAAAUUUUACAGUCUCCUGUACACGGCCUGUGAGGACCCUCACUCCAGGAUCAGCUCUCAUUUUCGUGGAUUGGGACCUGCCCUUUGGUGAUAUUGGGAAUGUUGGAGGAGCAAUGCCUGGAUCUCCCUCUAUGCUGCCCAUGAGGCUAUCUGCAUCUUUCACCUUUCCAGGUGGAGUGGGCAGGGAACUCAAGUCCGGGAAGGGUGGAUGUUGUGUCCGAGCAGGGUCUGAGCAUAGCCUGCGGGUCUCUUCUCCUGCUCCUAGACUGGCGUACUUGUCAGGAAAGUUCAGCUGUCCCCUGACUGCAAUGGGACGCUCUCGUUCCUUCAGAUAAGGAAAAUGAGACAUGAAGAGGUUAAGUUGUCCAAGGUCACAUGCAGGAGUUGACAUUUGUGAGGAGUCCAGGACAGUCAUUUUGCAGAUUAUGCGGCUUAUUUGUUCAACAGUUCACAGUAAACACCUCCUGUGUGCCGGGCACUGUACUGUGAGAGGAGAACAUCGUCGUCAAGAAAAACUUGAAGUGAAAGAAGACACUGAUGAUCAAAUGACAUGUGUGAGCAGUUGCAGAUUUUUCCAAAAGGGAGGCUGCAUAAAUUCAAG